UACCAGCUCUCCGAGUUGUAGGGAUGAUUAUUGGGCUUAAAGCGUUCGUAGCUGUCUUAGCAAGUCUCCUGUUAAAUUCAGCGACCUAAUCGUUGAGCCGCGGGAGAUACUACUAGGCUCGGAGGCGGGAGAGGUCAACGGUACUUUCGGGGUAGGGGUGAAAUCCUAUAAUCCCGGGAGGACCACCAGUGGCGAAGGCUGUUGACUAGAACGCGCUCGACGGUGAGGGACGAAAGCUGGGGGGAGCGAACCGGAUUAGAUACCCGGGUAGUCCCAGCUGUAAACUAUGCGGGCUAGGUGUUGGGGUGGCUACGGGCCACUUCAGUGCCGCAGGAAAGCCAUUAAGCCCGCCGCCUGGGGAGUACGGCCGCAAGGCUAGAAACUUAAAGGAAUUGGGCGGGGGAGCACCACAAGGCGUGAAGCUUGCGGUUC
rnacentral:rRNA from 1 species